AGCAACCCAGUGCUGUCCUGGCUCUUCAGUCUCUGCAGUCUCUGUGGACCGGCAGCCCCUUGCUUCAGAUUCCAAGCCCAUGACACUGGAUGUAGGGGAGGAACUUUAUCUCUGCAUCCAAUAUAACCCAGCUUAUGAGAAGGAUUUGAACAGCCGUGUGGCAGAGAGGGUUCUCAGGAUGCACUUCAUGGAUCAUCCUCGUGAGGAGCAGAUCACUGUUCGGGGAGAAGUGUACUUCCCAAAUCUCCAUCUCCAGACCAAGGCCAUGGACUUUGGCUACAUCAUGAAUGACACUGAAAAAGUGCUGAAUGUGGAGAUGACCAACUGCAGCCCAAUUCCUGCCCAGUACCACUGGUCAUUCCAGACAGACAGCCAGGUGAACACUGUAAGCUUUACCUUCUCCUUCCGUGCCCCGUGGUGACCUGCUGCAGAAUCCCAUUUGGAGGGCUGGGGCUUCGCUGCCUGCCCGGGAUGUGUCGCAUCAGCGCAGGCCAGUGGAGACACCUUCUGGGGUUCGGCAGAAGUGGCUCAGACGAGCAGGAAUAUUUCCUCUUAGGUGAGGGCUUCAGAACCUGCUCCAUCAUUUCACCUCCGUCCUUUCCUCACCCUGUUCUUGGCCCCAUGGAAGGACAGCAAUGCUGGCAGGCAGAGAACCCACCAGCCAUGCUGUGAGCUUGUCUACAGAGUUCAGCUUUUGGGAUCCAGCUUCCCUCUCCUGCAGCCUUUGCCCUAAGAAGAGGACUGACUGAGAAUCUCUCUUUCCAUGGCUGGAAGCCUGUCAGAUCUAGCCAGGAGCAGCCUGCUGCUCUCAGGUGACUAUGUGGGUUGACUCUCAGUGGGUUGGCUUCCCACUGAUUCCUACUUGCAGCCAUAGUCCUUGUGUUUUCAAGCUCUCAGCACUGGCCCCCAUGAAGACAUCGUAAAAUGGUGAAUAUCCAGAUCCUGGCCACAGAGACAACUAGAACACAUCUCUCCUCCUUUGCUCUCCAUUAGAGGAGUCAAUAGUCAUCUGUUUGCAGAGCUGAUUUUUGAAGUAGCUGCUAAGAUUGUACUUGGUGCAGAUUCCUUUAAAUAGCACCUCCAAAUUACAGCUGUCCGGGCUUAUUUAAUUUUGAACAAAGACUACAAAUUGUAUUUAUGUUAGAGCUGCUGAUUUGUUCAGAAGGACCUUUGUCUCCAGUCUGAUGGAGAAGCAUUUUUCUGUCUCACAGAGAAUCAGGAGCUCACCUGAUGCUUAUAAAUCCCCUGUUGUGCAAAGCAUGAGGAAGGAAAAGAUUUAAUGGCUUCUGUCAUCUGUACAAUCAGUGCAAGUCAGAAUAACCACCGUGAGAGACUACUUCCAGGGUCACAACUUGUCAAGAGAGGAAAGUACAGCUGCCUAAGGAUGAUCUGUACAAGGACCUGCUGUGCCAGCCUGCAGUGCUGAUUGUGGCUGGCUCUGGUCCAGCUCACCUCGGACCAAGUGGCUGAGGAGCUUUAGCACCUCCACCCCAAAAAAUUGGAUGAGCUACACCCCAUAGGAAUAUUCUGAGAGAGGCAUGAGCCAUGUUGCAUGAAGCCUGAGGGGCCUCAGACCCUUCUCUGACUUUUCUUCUUGAAAGUCAUGUACAGUUGUGGUCUGUGGGUUUCAGCAGGAGCUAAGGACAGUGAACUCAAAAAUCAAAUCUUGCAAAAAUCCUUGAGCUGCCAAUGGCUUGUUCCAAAGUACCCUUUUAAUCUGCAUCUGAUUGCCUGGAGGAGAAACUCAAAGUGCAUCAUGUGAGGCCAUUUAAAUACCUCCUGGGUGUGUGGCCUCUGGUGCUUUGUCCUGGGAUCACCUGGAAAGAGGUGGUGCUUUGUUGGGAGGCUGGUUUUCACACAGUGCCCUGGCUGUGCCUAUUGGGUGGUCCCUGGGUGGCCAAGCUGUGUGAUGCUGUGCUCUGGGGAAGCAGUAUCUGGCACUGUUGUGUGUCCAGGAGUUGGCCGUGAUGAUCCUUGUGGGUCCUUUCCAACUCAGGCUGUUCCAUCAAACUCUUGUAUUUAAUGUGGAAUGGGGGUGGUGGCAUCUGAUGCACAUCCUCUGUGCUGGCAGGGACCUCAGGCACUAUCAUUACUUCUCUGUCCUGAUGUUGGUGGCUCUUACAGAGCCUGAGCUGGCAGGGUCGUGUCAUCCCAUGUGACUCUUCACAUGUGGUUUGCAGAAGCAGUGUGAUUUCUAUCUGCUCUAUUUUGGGAGGUGGGUGUGGGAAGUGGUGUAAAACUGUGUCCCCAGCAGGCUCAGAAACCACCACACAGGCUGAGAUACUGGUUUUUUGGUAAUAUUUCAGAGGCUGGGACCAGUAGGUGUCAUAGGAUUGUCCUGGCCCUCAUAGGAAAAAUUCCUUUCUCCCUGGUGUCAAUCCACCUGUGCUCCCAUUAAAUUCCCACAUUAAUUCCUGGAUGCAUUUUGUCUUGUGUGAGGAGUGGCUGGGUUGGGUGAGAGUGACGCAGAGGAGCUGACGGUUUGUUGUCAGUCCUUCCAGCUCCAGGCUGACCUGCUUCUGUCAGGAGGCUUGGUCUCGGCUCCACAGUGCUGGCAGAAGCACUUCCACAGCCCUUUGGCCCCUCUCUUUUGGGAUGGGUACUCUGCAGGUGGAGGAGAUGCUCUCUGCUCCUUGCCUUCCUCCAUGCAUUCCCAGCCUUGGCCUGGAGUGUUUUCCUAUGAAGUGCGAGACAUCUCUGUUUCUGAGGAGGUUUCUUUUAAAACCAGCCCUAGGAGGUCACAGGACAUCCUAGAAACAAGUGGGACAUCCACAGCUUCCCUGGGCAGCUUGUGCCAGUGCCUCACCACCCCCACAGCGAAGAAUUUUUCCCUAGUAUCCAAACCUGCUCCCUUUCAGUUUGAAGCCUCCCCCCUUAUCCUGUCAGUACAUGCUCUUGUAAAUAGUCCUGCCCCAUCCUUCCUGUUACUCCUCUUCAGGUACUGGGAGGCUACAAUUAGGUCACCCCCAAAGCUUUCUCUUUUCCAGGCUCAACAAUCCCAGUUCUCUCAGCCUUUCCUCAUGGGAGAAGUACUUCAUCCUUCUGAUCAACUUGGUGGCCUCCUCUGGACUCGCUCCAGAGGUGAAGAAAUAUCUGCUGUGUCACAGCGUCAUGGGCAGAGAGACAGUAAAUACGCAGAUAAUGCAAGUGCUUUUCACCUGCGUGUUCAUUCCUCCCAGUGUGCAAAUGCAUUCCACAGAAAUCCCUUUCCCGGGGCGAAGGUGUCUCUGGGCUUGCACCCCGGCAUUUAACAGAGUGUCUGACGGCCGAGAGCCCGUGUGCUGCGUGUUCUUGUGCUCAAGCGAGCAAUCCCAGCCGCUCCUGAGGCGGCUGUGAGCCGGCCGGAGGCGGUGUCCCGUGUCCGCGGUGUCCGGCCCUGCCCGGCCGGGC